ACCAUUUUCCUUCUCGUCCCCUUCCGUGCGCGAGCCGUGCCGCGUCUCUCACUCGCCGCCACAAAUAAAGGCCCCUCCACCGCCCGCCGCGACGUCGGCGCCAAGCAACAACCGCGACCGCCGCCUCCUCCUCCUCCUCCUACUACUACUACUUAGCCCAGUCGCCAAGUCGAGGGACCCCCGGGGGGGGGGGGGGGGGGGGAAUCGGAGCGGAGCCGUGGAGGGGCAGGGGCAUGGACCGCAUCGUCGGCGGCAAGUUCAAACUCGGCCGGAAGAUCGGGUGCGGCUCCUUCGGGGAGAUCUACCUCGCCACGCACGUGGACACCUACGAGAUCGCCGCGGUGAAGAUUGAGAGUAGCAAGACGAAGCAUCCCCAGCUGUUUUACGAGGCAAAGCUCUACAAUGCACUCCAAGGAGGAAGUGGCAUUGCAAAUGUUAAGUGGUGUGGUGUGGAUGGAGAGGAAAAUAUCCUUGUCAUCGAUUUGCUUGGGCCGAGCUUGGAGGAUCUGUUUGUCUAUUGUGGCAGGAAAUUCACACUGAAGACAGUUCUAAUGUUGGCGGACCAGAUGAUUACAAGAAUUGAGUUUGUACAUUCCAAAGGAUACUUACACAGAGACAUAAAACCUGACAACUUUCUGAUGGGACUUGGUCGGAAAGCAAAUCAGGUAUACAUAAUUGAUUUUGGACUUGCAAAAAGAUACAGGGAUUCCACUACGAAUCGUCAUAUUCCUUAUAGAGAAAACAAGAACUUAACUGGCACUGCACGCUAUGCAAGUUGCAACACUCAUCUUGGGGUUGAGCAAAGUCGGCGGGAUGAUUUAGAAUCUCUUGGUUAUGUUCUUCUAUACUUUCUCCGAGGAAGCCUCCCAUGGCAGGGACUAAAAGCUGCAACAAAGAAGCAGAAGUAUGACAAGAUUUGUGAGAAAAAGAUUUCAACACCUAUUGAGGUGUUAUGCAAAUCCUGUCCAGUUGAAUUUGCAUCUUACUUCCACUAUUGUCAUUCCUUGACAUUUGAUCAGCGGCCCGAUUAUGCUUUUGUAAAGCGCCUUUUCCGUGACUUAUUUACCCGUCAAGGCUAUGAGUUUGAUUAUGUCUUCGACUGGACUGUGUUGAGAUAUAAACAAGGCCAAAAGGUUCAGGUAUCAUCAUGGCAUGGUUCUGGGGCGACUAUUACAAGAGCAAUCCCUGGAGACCUUGAUAAACAAGCUGGUCUAGGUGUAAAUGGUGCUUUCCAUCAUAAUGGAGCCCGGGAGCAGACAGGCCCAAGCCAUCUGGCAGGGUCAGCUGCACAGUUGCAGGUGAAACGGGCAACUGAGGGAGGUCCCUACCCUAACAUUCAGCGUACUGAGAAUGUUGAACAAGACAUGACUUCCAGAAAAGCGCAUCUCACAGCAUCUGUUCUACCUGGUGCCGAAUGGAGAAAAGAUGGUGACUCAAGACAACUAGGGCAGCUUGACGUUUUACAUCAGAAGCAGAGUUUUGUAAGCAAUACUGGCUCAUCUAGUGGCCGGUUUCCAACAUUCCUGUAUGACUCUCCUGCAAAUUGAGAGGUACUGAAGAUGUUCAAUAUCUGAAAAGGGGCAUACUUAAGUUCGUGGAAAUUCCUGGGAAAUUUUUAGGCAUGGUGCUGCAAAUGCUCUCCCUUGGGCUUCUCUCCUAUUAACCUUCUGAUCAGCCAGAAAGGACAAAAGCAGUGGCACUGGGUGAUUAAGGAAUGAGCCAACACCAAAGAAGAUAUUCAUAUAUGAAGUCAUUUGAGCUGCUUUGAUGUCAUUUCUUUGCCAGGUUCGCUGCUUGGUCCACAACUCUGCUGUUGAGUCUCCUUGAUAAACUUGUGUCAGGGACGACCUUACAAGAGCCCGUCUUUUGGUACGUAUCAAUGUAUGCUGCUCACUACUUUCCAGUGUAACCUCUGAGUAUUAGCGUUUAUUCGUCAAUGCUGCUCUUGAUUGUGUUACUCGCCGUUUGGAUCAUUUCCAAGUUCCAUGAUAGUGGUUUGCCUUGUAGUACAUUGGUACUUGCACCACUAAUGCAUAUUCUGUUCUUUUGUUCCCAUGUCCUUUUGUCUGUGAUUAUAAAACACAAAGAUGAGGCGAUGUUUUUUCUCCCUCUUUCCCUUGUGUUAAUGGACAUGUAUUUUGGGUUUUGUCGGGCAAACACCACCUUGCACUACUGCGAGACUGCCAAAAGCGUCUUUUCACUAACUAUGUAGUGUCACUUUAAUCUUUUGUUACACG